UACGGAGGGGGCUAGCGUUGUUCGGAAUUACUGGGCGUAAAGCGCACGUAGGCGGCUUUGUAAGUUAGAGGUGAAAGCCCGGGGCUCAACUCCGGAAUUGCCUUUAAGACUGCAUCGCUAGAAUUGUGGAGAGGUGAGUGGAAUUCCGAGUGUAGAGGUGAAAUUCGUAGAUAUUCGGAAGAACACCAGUGGCGAAGGCGACUCACUGGACAGAUAUUGACGCUGAGGUGCGAAAGCGUGGGGAGCAAACAGG
rnacentral:rRNA from 1 species